GGGCAUUUGGCUCCUGACCACUGAAGCUGCAGGACGGGUUUCCAAGGAAGCAGAAGCACCUUUGACGGAAUUAUGAUGGGCCAGCUCAGAGGAGGUGGAGAGGGAAGCUCUGGUCUGUAACUUACACCCCAGGGUCACCGAAGAUUUCUGUGUUAACCAAGCCUGCCAUAUUUGCUGUUCGUUCUGCACAUUGAGAUGGUUUGUUCCUACUGCCUCUAAGAUUUCUUUAAAAUACAGGACUCCUGCAGGGAUGGAAUCCAAUUACAAAUGCUCAAUGUUGCCCUGCGGCACAGCAUCUAUGAAAAUGGGAGUGCAGGGAGAACGACCAAGUUUAAAUGAUUCAGUGCUGAUGGGCCCAAAGGAGCAGCAGGGGGCAGUGCCUGGGAACGGCAGGGGACACUGAGCCACGUGCAUCCCUGGGGGGCUGCGCCAGGUCAUUGGCCUCCUCUGAUGAAGAAGACUGCUUUGCUUAAGUGAAGUCCUCUUGCACAAAUGAAACUACAAGGCAACUUUAUGGGUAUUCAGUCUGCUCAGCAAACACCAUGGAUCUGCUGCGGUCCUUUCCUACACUCCAGGGGAGUGUCCAUCAGGCCCAAUACACCUCUGUCCUCCUCAGCUACCCGUGGGAGACUCUUCAUUAUUGCUGGACUCCUAUUUUGUCCUAUGAGAGCAAGGCUUGACUCUGAUUAUUUUUGAAAAUCAAUUGCUUAUAAGGUUGAACAAACGUUUUUAUAAUUAAUCAUUACAAUUCUAAAAUGCUAAAAAUGGAUGCUUGUGAAU